CAAAUGUGCAAUAGGUAAUGAAAAGACAACACAGCUUAGGUUAGUGAUUGUCAGUCCCUGCAAUUUACGCAAGGUCACGCCCCCCCUCCCCGCCUGCUGGAGUCUCUUCAUGAUGACGGCAUCGCGCUGCCGCCCCUCACUCGCCGGUUCCACGGAUCCAGGGUCGACGGCGGCGCCUCCAGCCUCUCCCGCGAUGCAGCGCCCACGCCUCCUUUUCAUCCUCUAGAAGGUCGAUUGGAUAAACUUAUUCGAUAACGACUUGCAAUUCUUUAUCUCUGAGGAACAUGCAGGGCGUCGGCACGGACUGCGACUGCCCUGUCACAACUGCUUCUGCCAUGCUUCGUCAGCCGCCACGAAGCAGCGCUGAAUUCCCGCGCAGCGCAGUAGCUCCGCGAGAAGCACAAGCGGGGUCUAGCUUCUCUGAGCCUCGAGCACAGCAGCAGGAGCGGUCCCGCGAACUGAAUGAAAGAACCCCAGACACGCCGCUUCGCCUCUUUGGCUCCGGCAUAUUAGAUUUCACAGGAAGUGCUUUCUUCCAACUCAAUUUUCAAUCUGUGCAAAAGCCGCUUGAUUUCCUGAGAAAAUAUAGAAUACAUAAGGAAUACCUGUUCUUUCUCCCCAGCUGGUGCUGCUUGCGUGUGCGCUGGCAGCGAGGCUGUGCGCGGGAAACCUGAUUUAUGCGCGCUUGCCGUACACAAUCGGGCAGCCGACGCUAUACGUGCAGCAGACAAGGUUCCUGGCCAUCACGGACCAGGACAAGAUCUCCACUCUGCAGGUAUUCACAGAUGUGGACCCUCCCAAGGCCUCCCCCGUCGCCCCUGCCCCAACCUCUGCCGCGGCCCCCUACACGCACCCACUGGCCGCCCUGCCCCCCCGCUGGUGACGCUCUCCCGCGGCCGCUCACCUGGUUUCGUCCCUGUUCAUGGAGCUUUAAGGCAUAGCGUCAUGUAAAUUUUGUCAUGGCAGAUUUCAGGUUUAAGACAUCUUUAUUCACCAA